AUUCAUCCAUCUAUCGAUGCUCUCGGUGUCGGGGGUUGACCUGCUUUCUCUUCUGCGGGUCUUACGAAUAGCAAAGGACCACAUUUGGGACUUCUCCCAUUAGUGGAACGAAGACCGCUUCCCUCAACAAACAAACAAACAAAUAAACAAGCAGCAAUGGCAAAGUCGACCUCGGUGGAAUUUGAACUCAGAACGUAACGACAGACGAA